rnacentral:misc_RNA from 1 species
GGGGUGUUGGGGGGGUGUGAAUGUUUGGAAUUUUUAUCUACCGAUCAAUGAAAUAUCAUGACAUAUAUGGGAUACCUCAAAUCCAAUUUAGUGAAAUGAUUUAUUAGCAUAGAUGAUUAUUCGGGACUUAAAUUCAGGGGCCUAGAACUUCUAUGCUAUGUUGCAAGGAGGGAGUGCUUACUUAAUGAAUGAUGAAUGUCUGCAUUUGGAAGCUUGCAGCAUGCCAAUUAUAAUAUGGCUAGUUAUUAUCGAUAGAUAGCAAAGCAUUCUUGUUGGCUUUCAGCCUUCAGUUUAUAGGAGAAAGUGUCAUGGCAUGCAAUAGUAAGAAAAAUUAUAAAAAGAAAUCAUAGCAGUAAUGGGACCUAAAUAGGCGUUGUUGGAAUUGAGAAGCAUAGAAAUUAAAUGAUAAAACUAAAAUUUAGUGUUAUCAAGGUGAAAUUUGACACUAAGGCAACAUUAUACCUUAUAGUCUUAGGCGGGGGGCAAGGCGAGAGCCUUUAUGAAGGAAGGCGUCAUUGCCUAAAUUAUAUAUAUAUAUAUAUGUACUUCUAAUAUAUUUUGUCAUUCUAUUAGCAUAAACAAAAAUCAUAUCACAAAUU